GUGGUCACUUCAGCAGCACAUAGACUAAAAUUGGAACGAUACAGAGAUCAUAAGCAUGUCUCCUACUCAAGGAUGACAUGCAAGUUCGUGAAACUUUCUCUAUAUUA